GAUAUAAUAGUGGAAUUGGUAGCACACUAGACAAGAAAUCUGGCUGAUGUAAGUUCGAAUCUCGCUUGAAACU
rnacentral:tRNA from 1 species